AGCUGGGGAUGUUCAGCCUGGAGAAGAGGAGGCUCAGGGGAGACCUCAUCACUCUCUACAACUAUCUGAAUGGAGGUUGUAGCCAGGCAAGUCUUGGUCUCUUCUCCCAGGCAACCAGCAGUAGGACAAGAGGGCACAAUCUUAAGCUCUGUCAGGGGAAGUUUAGGUUGGAUAUUAGGAAGACAUUUUUUAC